GACGAACGCUGGCGGCGUGCUUAACACAUGCAAGUCGAGCGGUAAGGCCCUUUCGGGGGUACACGGGCGGCGAACGGGUGAGUAACACGUGGGUGACCUGCCCUCAGCUCUGGGAUAAGCCUGGGAAACCGGGUCUAAUACCGGAUAUGACUCCAUGACGCAUGUUGUGGGGUGGAAAGCCUUGUGCGGCUGAGGAUGGGCCCGCGGCCUAUCAGCUUGUUGGUGGGGUGAUGGCCUACCAAGGCGACGACGGGUAGCCGGCCUGAGAGGGCGACCGGCCACACUGGGACUGAGACACGGCCCAGACUCCUACGGGAGGCAGCAGUGGGGAAUCUUGCGCAAUGGGCGAAAGCCUGACGCAGCGACGCC
rnacentral:rRNA from 1 species